rnacentral:rRNA from 1 species
CCGGGAGGGGAGUGAAAGAGAACCUGAAACCUUGUGCUUACAAACAGUGGGAGGUUGGCUACGGCUGACUGACUGCGUACUUUUUGUAGAACGGUCCGGCGAGUUACUAAUAUUAGCGAGGUUAAAUACUAAAAAGGUAUGGAGCCGAAGGGAAACCGAGUCUUAAGAGGGCGAGGAGUUAGUAUUAGUAGACCCGAAACCGGGUGACCUAUCCAUGUCCAGGUUGAAGUAACCGUAAAAGGUUAUGGAGGACCGAACGCACAUCUGUUGAAAAAGGUGGCGAUGAGGUGUGGAUAGGGGAGAAAUUCCAAUCGAACCCGGAGAUAGCUGGUUCUCCUCGAAAUAGCUUUAGGGCUAGCCUCGAGAGGAGUCUAACGGAGGUAAAGCACUGAACUGACGCGGGGCCCAAAAAGGUUACCAACUCAUAUCAAACUAAGAAUGCCGUCAAGAUACCCUCGGGAGUCAGACUACGGGAGAUAAGUUUCGUGGUCAAAAGGGAAAGAGCCCAGACCGACAGCUAAGGUCCCCAAGUGUGUGUUAAGUGGAAAAGGAUGUGGGAUUUCAAAGACAACUAGGAUGUUGGCUUAGAAGCAGCCAUACAUUUAAAGAGUGCGUAAUAGCUCACUAGUCGAGAGAACCUGCGCCGAAAAUAAUCGGGGCUAAAACACACCACCGAAGCUACGGAUUUAUUACAGAGGUAAUAAGUGGUAGAGGAGCAUACUGCAAGGACGAAGCCAAAGUGAGAACGAUGGUGGACGAAGCAGUAGAGAGAAUGCCGGAAUGAGUAGCGAGAUAUAUGUAAGAAACAUAUAGGCCGAAUAUCUAAGGUUUCCUGAGUAAAGCUAAUCUUCUCAGGGUAAGUCGGGGCCUAAGGCGAGGACGAGAGUCGUAGUCGAUGGACAACUGGUAGAGAUUCCAGUACUAUGUAUAAUCAGAACUGUGGGGACGCAGGAGGAUAGGUGUACCGCGGAAAGGGAAGACGCGGUCAAGCACAAAGUCGAGUUUGAAAGGCAAAUCCGUCAAACGAUGAUGAAGUGUGACGAGGACUGAAAAAGAGUAGGGAAGACACUGAAUCCACACUGCCGAGAAAAGCCGCUAUAGUGUUAUACAUACCCGUACCGUAAACCGACACAGGUAGAUGAGGAGAAAAUCCACAGGCCGACGGGAGAAGUGUUGUUAAGGAACUCGGCAAAAUGACCCCGUAACUUAGGGAGAAGGGGAGCCACGAAAGUGGUCACAGAAAAGAGGCUCAAGCAACUGUUUAGCAAAAACACAGGUCUCUGCUAAACCGAAAGGUGAAGUAUAGGGGCUGACACCUGCCCGGUGCUGGAAGGUUAAAAGGAGAGGUAAGGAGCAAUCCGAAGCUUUGAAUUCAAGCCCCAGUAAACGGCGGCCGUAACUAUAACGGUCCUAAGGUAGCGAAAUUCCUUGUCAGGUAAGUUCUGACCCGCACGAAAGGUGUAAUGAUUUGAGCACUGUCUCGACAACACGCCCGGUGAAAUUGAAGAACCAGUGAAGAUACUGGUUACCCGCAACAGGACGGAAAGACCCCAUGGAGCUUUACUGCAGCCUGAUACUGGGAUUCGAUGAUGUAUGUACAGGAUAGGAGGGAGACUAAGAAGGUAGCACGCCAGUGUUGCCGGAGUCGACGGUGGGAUACCUCUCUUAUAUCAUUGGAUUUCUAACCCGUAUCCGUGAACCGGAUAGGGGACAAUGUCAGGCGGGCAGUUUGACUGGGGCGGUCGCCUCC